GACGAACGCUGGCGGCGUGCUUAACACAUGCAAGUCGAACGGAAAGGCCCUGCUUUUGUGGGGUGCUCGAGUGGCGAACGGGUGAGUAACACGUGAGUAACCUGCUCUUGACUUGGGGAUAACUUCAGGAAACUGGGGCUAAUACCGGAUAGGAGCUCCUGCUGCAUGGGGGGGGUUGGAAAGUUUCGGCGGUUGGGGAUGGACGCGCGGCUUAUCAGCUUGUUGGUGGGGUAGUGGCUUACCAAGGCUUUGACGGGUAGCCGGCCUGAGAGGGUGACCGGCCACAUUGGGACUGAGAUACGGCCCAGACUCCUACGGGAGGCAGCAGUGGGGAAUAUUGCACAAUGGGCGGAAGCCUGAUGCAGCAACGCCGCGUGCGGGAUGACGGCCUUCGGGUUGUAAACCGCUUUCGCCUGUGACGAAGCGUGAGUGACGGUAAUGGGUAAAGAAGCACCGGCUAACUACGUG
rnacentral:rRNA from 1 species